rfam:Camelus ferus unplaced genomic scaffold scaffold1533, whole genome shotgun sequence.
GAGGGUAUAGCUCAAAUGGUAGAGCUCAUGUUUGGCAUGCACGUGGUCCUGGGUUCAAUCCCCAGUACCUCCA